rnacentral:lncRNA from 1 species
AGGAUUGUCUGGGUGGGCGGCAAGAGCAGCAGGGCAGAAAGGGCCCAAGGCAGGGUUGGGCCUCCCCAGGGUGUGGGGUGCAGGGAGGGGCUGCACAGGCUGUUCCCCCGAAGGAGGGAGGAGGGAAGGAGCACAGAGGUGCUGGGAGCAAAUGGAGAGGGAAGUGGCAGCGACCCGCGUGCCAGGCGGUCCCGGUUUGGGGUUGAUCUGUGUGGAAACAGCUCCCUGGCCCAUGUGUAAGUGGUCAGGGGAGACAUGGAGGUCUGGAGCUACAAGCGGUGGCAGGAAGGCAGGUCCUGGUCUUGGGGGUCUGGAGCUUAUCUUCUUCCUGUGAACUGAGUGUGGGCGGCACCUAUGGGCGGUGCCCUGGACCUGUGGUCUGGUGGAGUCCAGGCCUCCCAGGGAUAGCAGGGCAGCCAGGGCUAGAGGAGCCUGAGGGGCCAGGUCAGGGUAGCCCUGGGGACACUGCCUCCACCUUUGACCAGCGCUGCUGCGGGGAUCUGGUCAUGAGACCCCUUCACCCAGGAGGGGAGGCACGUGAGUGUGACCCUAAGUCCAUACCCUAUGGGGGGCUCUGACCCUCCUGCAUAGGGCCUGGACAGGGGUGGGUGGGGUGUGCAGGUGGGGAGUGGGGAGCCCAGACUCUCCCAGACACAGCCUGCUCUGCUCCAGAAUGUGGGCUUGGGGACUGCAGGCUGGCUGGGUCUGGGCUGCCUGGUGUGCCUGUGGUGGCUGCAUUCCCAUAUCUGGGACUGAGGCCUAGUGAGGACCAGGAGGAGCCUGAAGGGGGCUCCAUGGAGGACCUGCCUCAGAUGACACCCCUAUUUUAAGAAGGACAUGGAGAUGCACAGACAUCGGGAAGGGACAGAGGAAGGACGUGCAGUUGCAGCCUUUUCAGCAGAUGCUCUGAGAAUGGGAGGUCGAGAGUUGGAGCAAACGGUCAGUUCUGACAGGGCCUCAGACCUAAGGCAGGAGCACCCCCUACACCAGACCUCCUGGGUCACAGGAAAUGCACAGACAUCGGGAAGGGACGGAGGAUGGAUGGAGGAAGGACGUGCAGUUGCAGCUCUUUCUGCAGAUGCCCUGAGAGAGGAGCAAGAAGGUCCUCGCCAGAUGCUCCUGGACUUGCUUUGGACUUUCCCUUGCUCUUGGACUUGCUCUGGCACCUGUGCUCUUGGACUUCACAGCCUCUAGAACUUUUGGUCUUUGUAUUUACACCAGUCAUCUCACAAUGCGUGUUGAGCUUUGCACCCUUUUACCAAAUGAGGUCACCCCAUGCACAGAAGCUGUAAUGUUAUUAAACAAAGCAAUGUAUCCAGAUCACUCAGAAUCUAUGCCUGUCGCGGGGAGCAGGAGAUGAGGGUGAACGAAGAGCCAGAGCAUGGCAGGGGAGCCACUGCAAGGAUGCUGAAACUCAUGUGAACAGAGUUGCUGUAGGCAGGCCACCAUGGAACCUUGUGGGGGAAGCACUGCCUCUUAGGAAUGGCAGUGAAAAUGGGAGAAGAGGGUGGUAUUGCCUCCAGAUAGAAGAUGCAGUGCUUUGCCUUGCUCCUUGGUGCAUGGAGAGGGAAAGGGAUGCUGCUAUAAAGUUCCUGGCUGGACUUUGGCUUGAUAAGGCAUGGGCACCUUUGGGAGUAUGAGGACGGGUGGGUUUGUGCACAUCUUCCAUGAGGAGCUGUUAGUAUUGGGGCAGACGUUUCAAGUAUGGCAGACAAAGGAUGUUCUGCAUGGGGAAAUGUGGUGACAUCCAUUUCACAAGGACAGCUCACAUAGAUUGAGUGCUCAGGAAGGACCAGCAUCAUACCCAGUGCCUGAUGUGUAUCAUCUCAAUUAGUCCUUGCCUCAAAUGCAAAAGGAAGCCAUUGCCAUCUUCAUCACCACCAUCAUCAUCAUCCUCCUGUGCAGAUGGAAAAGCUGAGGCAUAGAGAGGUGAUGGAGUCUGCCCAGGACUGCAAGCCUGCUGGUGGCAGAGCCAGAUUCCAAUGGAAUGAAGGUUGUCAUCCUCAGAUGGCAGGGUAGGCAGGUGGCUAGAGCUCACUUGGGAGAAGGGGAAAGGACACUGACAUUGGCUAGGGAUGGAGCAGGGCUUGGGCUGGCUUUCCAUGCACGGGCAGCGGGCAUGGCUCAUGGCUGUGCUCCAGCCCCGGGUGUGGACAUUGAAUCUUCCAGGUCUACCCUAGGCUAUGGGUCUGGACAGCACUGUGAUGGAAAGAAGACGCUCUAUGUCCUGCAGUCUGUGACCAAUGAUGUGACUGUGGGAAUGGCGCUGGCGUCUGGCUGCCACUCUGGGAUGGGUGGCCAGCUGCCAUCAGGCCCUGGGAUGGGACCACCAUACGACUUCUUCCCUCGCUCCUCCAGGUCAUGUCCACAGCCCCAGGAGGACCAGCAAAGCCUCUCAAGCCGAUGGCAGCUCACGUUCUGCCUUGUCAGCUACUCCUCUCCUGGGCAACAUUGGCUGCUUGCUGUGGCUCUCCCUGGGGUACGUGACUGCCUCUGUGCUGGGCGCCUGGCCUGGGCUUUCCUUCUGGGCCUGGGCAGCUGGGGUCAGCUUGGACCCAGGCAGCAGCCACAGAGGGGCCCAUGGAGGUGACAGAGUUGCUUCUAUGAUGGUGAACGGGCAGCUGUGACACGGAGGAGGCGACCACUCCUUAGUUUCCAAGUGCUGCGGUCAGGGCCGGGGCCAGCAAAGUCCCUCCCAUAUUCAAAGAGCGGGUUUGGGUUUGUCCCAGGAGGACAUAGUCAGGAGCCCAUACUGGGACAUGCCUCCUCCAAAGUUCAGCCUGGACCCCAGCCUCUGCCAACGGCCCCGCUCCUUAGCUAACCCAGCUUGCUCCUGGGUUCCACGGCAGAGUCAGAUGUUUCUGGGUACUUUCACCUUUGUGCCUUAAAUGCAUGUUGAGGAUUUUAAGGAAUUGUGGAGAAAUAGGGCUGUGCCAAAGGCAAGUGACAACUGGGAACAAUGAUCCCACAGAGGCUGCUGAGGCCUGGGCCCCAGGGGCGUGAGUUCAUCCUUCUGCCUGGGCUUUGGUGGGAGGGGCAGACUCUGUGGUCUGAGACACAAAAAAACCCAAAACAUACGUGUGUACAGACACACAGCAGAGGCACACACACACUUGUGCCCAUGCACACACUCACAGGAGGCCCGUGGACUCCGCACAGCGAAGAAACUCCUCCGGUCGACAGUGGAAGGUGCUGCAGCAGGGACCCACCCCCAAGCCCUGCCUGCCUCCCAUUGCCCACCUGGCUCUGGCUUGAUGGGCUCAUCUCAUGCUGUGGCUGGGGACCUCUUGCUUCCUGCAACCCCUUGCUGGCCUGGGGCCUGGGCCUCUCCUGGGCUGUGCUUAGGGUUUGUAACCCAGGGCCUGUGCUGGCAUGCACAGAGCAUCUCUCCCUGGGAGGCUCAGGGCUGCCUCCUCGAGUUCUGUGGGCCUGCACUGGCUGGUGAGCCUGUGGUGUGGGUUUUUAGGCUGUAUCCUUCUACCUCCUGAGUCCAGGGGUCCCAGGUACCCUGCAGCUGUCUCCUCGGCCAUCCUGUGGGGCCCCGAGACCUUGCCCUCACUUCAGUGCCCAGGUGCUCCAGCUCUGCCCAGGUGCCAGGCGAAGGUGUGAGCAUGAGCCUAUCGGACACACCUGGCAACGUAUACCGGGUGUCCCACCCCGGCCACCACGGGGCCUCCCGAUACGGCAACUGCCAAGGACCUGUGGGGACCAAUGAGGAAAGAGAGACGCAGGUCUGGGCCAGGCUCACAGGGACUCCGGCAUAGCAGACCCUGCCCCAGCAGGCCCCCUUGUCCUUCCUGGGCCGUGGUCCUACAUGAGGAACUAGCCCAUCCCUGGUGGGGAUCCCACCCCACUUCUCAGUGGGCUCCAUGCUUGUCUUGUCGGAGUCACCCCUCAGGCAGUGCCGGGAUCCUCUCCUUUAGACCCACUGUGCCUUCCAGGCCUCCUGGGCUUCUGCUGGGGACAGAAGAAAUGCCUCCCCAGGUCUGUCUCUGGAGGCUCUGAGGGAGAUGGGCUUGGGGGCUCUAGGAGGAGGCAGGGAUUCCAGGGUGCUAGGAAGGCAGGGGUGCAAGGUCCCACCCAGUGAAGUAACAAGCCGUGGGUGGUGACAGUGACCCAGUGCCCUCACUGCCCAACCCCGCCUGUCCUCAGCCAGCGCUGCAGGGAUCCCAGGCCCAGACUCUGCAGGCCUUCACUGAUCCUGGCCACCCCAGAAAGGCUGCAGCCUGCGGGCACCAGCCGGGCCACAUGCCCAGUGCCAGCUAGGGCCCACCGCCCAUCCUGCACACAGGGCUGCUGGGUAGGUGCCCCUCACACCCCCAGGAUGUCAGUGCUCACCUCGAGCAAAGUGCCCCAGCUCGGCCUUGGGAGGCGGUCAUGUCCCGGGGCAUGAUGGAGAGCUGUCCAACUGAGAGAGAGGGAGGGAGGGAAGGAGGGAGGGAGAGAGACAGAGAGAGAGAGAAAGAGAGAGAGAGGAGGUGUGGGCUCUAAGGCUGCCUUAGUGGAGUUGUGCGUGGCCUGCACCUCACCAAGCCUAGCCACUCUCACCACUCUGAGUGGCUCACAGGCUUGUGAGGGCCCCGUCGCUGCCUGCUGGGUCCCCACCAGGGAUCCCUCUAGGAAUGCGCCAUGGCUGCUAUGACAAUUUGCACAGCCCAGUGGCUUAAACACCAUUUAUACCACAGGUCCAGAUGAAUCCUACAGGGCCAAGGUCUAGGUGUGCUGGAGGCCAUGCUCCCUCCAGACUUGCGGGGAGAACUUCCCUGCCUCUUCUAGUCUCUGCAUCCCUGAGCUCUCGGCUCCUCCUCUGUCUUCAGGGCCAGGGCGUAGCAUCUGCUCUCUCAGCCUCUGCCUCUGCUUCCGACCUCACCUGGCUUCUGUCUAUGUCAGUCUCCCUCUGCCAUCCUCCUAGAAGGACACCUGUGAUUACAUUAGGGCUCACCUCUUUAAUCCAGGAGCACCUCUCCACUUCAUGAUUUUCAGCUAACUUGCUUCUGCAAAGACCCCCUUUCCCUAUAAGGGCACACAUUCACUGGUCCCGGGGCUAAGGACCUUGCUCCAAGUCCCUCCACCCAUGAUGCUGUGCCUUCCAGAAACCUGUCCUCUGCAGCUCGGUCUUGACCCCAAGCCUGCUGGUGACCUGAACAUCACAGGGUUAUCCCCUUGGGCUGUGUGCAGCAUGAUGCAAUUUCUUGGCCUGAAUGUCAUGCUCCCUGGGGCAGGACCUUGAGGCUGCAGCACACACUAGGCCACCUGCACCUGGGUAGACAGGGAGGUGCUCAACCCCAGCUCGGGUCCUCUAGUCUGCCUGGCUACCAUGCUUCUCAUUCUCCUGCAUCUGCAGACCCUGGGUUGCCGUGUGAGGCAGGGGCGGGGUGGGGCUGAGGGCGUGGCUUUGGUCCCUGGCUGUCCGAAUGAAGCACCAGAGUGAUGCCACAGCCCAUCCCGGUGACAUGCUCACCCCCAACCCCCGUGUCCGGGACCCCGGUCUUGUGUGGUCCCUGAUGUGGAGUCCUCAGUCCUUAAGAUACAUCCAGAAAGUCCUGGCCAUGAAUUGGGGGUGCAGAGUCCUGCAGAGCCGCUGGGCUGGGCUGGUGCCCCCAGGAGAUGAAGGGCCUGGUGGAUGCCCUCCUCCCUCAGAGCUGGGGCAGCUGCCUCCCAGGGGUGGGACCGUGGGCUCAGAGAGAGGCCCUUGAGCUGCAGCUCAGGGGAGUGUGAGGCUUCAUGGAGUGUGUCCUGGUCCAUGUGGUCCACGUGUCUCCAUCUCCAAGGAGAGGCUCCUCAGUGUGCACCCCCACAUCCGUCCUCUCUGCCGGCCCCCGGCAUCUGAGCAGUCAUUCCCUGCCAGCACCUCUGCAGCCUGCUGGGCCUCAGGUUCGCUGUGAGGGACCUCCCCGGCCUUCCACAGAGGUGGAGUAAGCUCCGUCAAGGCAGGUGGCUUCGUCCCUUCCUGUGAGUGACACCAGUGAUGAAGUGGACCCCUCCACACAGGCAUCCUCAGGGCACAGGGCCCUGGGGGCACCUUCCUCCUUUCUUAUUUGUUGAGAAAAAAAGUGGCAUUGCACCCAGGAUGCUGGUGCAGAGCUGACAUGCUCGGGAAAGGUCAGAGGUCACUGGGGGUGGGGAGGUCAUCCAGUCCAGACUCAGCACCUCGUGGGCUGGUAAACUGAGGCUCAAAGUGCUGGUGCCAGGCCUAAGGCCUCGCGGUGACCCCUGUCUCUGGUUCCCAGCACCUGCCUGAGACCUGCCCCAGGCACCCAUAACCUGGAAUUCCCUGUUUCCUUGUCCAGGGCCUGAGGAAAUGGCUCCCCAGGUCUGUCUGGAUGCUCUGAGGGAGACAGGCUUGGAGGAUCUAGGAGGAGGCAGGGAUUCCAGGGUGUCAGGAAGGCAGGGGUGCCGGGUCCCACCCAGUGAAAUAACAAACCGUGGGUGGCGUUUCGGCCUCCCUGCCUUCCCCACUGGGUGUGCUGGUGCUGGCGCUGCUGGGUCAGGGCUGCCUGUGACCCCAGACACCACUGUCCGUCCUGUGAGGCUCCUGUCUGGGCAUGUCCUGGGUGGAUUCCUCCUUUCUGUUAAGUAGCUACAUGAGGCAGGGGCUCCUGGAUCCAAAAAAAAAUGACAGGAAUUCCAGAGCCAGGUGCAUCCACUCAGGGCAGCCAGUGUUCGUGGAGCUGCCUCUAGCACGAGUGAAAGUCAGCCCGCCCCUCUCAUGAGAAAAGAACCUGUGGAUACCUCUCAGCCUCCAGCGUUGCAAGUGCAAGGCCAGUGGAGUUAAUCUGCAACGUGCAUGAGGGCGUGUGUCAGUGGCUGUGUGCAGGAGUGUGAGUGAGCAAGAGCGAGAACGCAUGGCUCCUGCUGUACCUCAAAGUGUGGGCUCCCGGUGGCUGCUCAGCAUUCCCAGGGGUGAGAGGCCUCAUGCAUCCUAGGCUGUGUAUAUAUAGACACAGAUUUUCUUCUCUGUGGUCUGGAGCGCCGCCUGGUGGUCUUGUGCUUCCCUG